UUGUAAAAAGGAGAAAGAAGGAACAGAGUACUUGUAGAAUAGGAGAAAGAAGGAACAAAGUACUUUCUCCUAUUCUACAAGUACUCUGCUCCUUCUUUCUCCUACUUUUAGG
rnacentral:miRNA from 1 species